GACGAACGCUGGCGGCGUGCCUAAUACAUGCCAGUUGAGCGCUGAAGGUUGGUACUUGUACCAACUGGAUGAGCAGCGAACGGGUGAGUAACGCGUGGGGAAUCUGCCUUUGAGCGGGGGACAACAUUUGGAAACGAAUGCUAAUACCGCAUAAAAACUUUAAACACAAGUUUUAAGUUUGAAAGAUGCAAUUGCAUCACUCAAAGAUGAUCCCGCGUUGUAUUAGCUAGUUGGUGAGGUAAAGGCUCACCAAGGCGAUGAUACAUAGCCGGCCUGAGAGGGUGAUCGGCCACAUUGGGACUGAGACACGGCCCAAACUCCUACGGGAGGCAGCAGUAGGGAAUCUUCGGCAAUGGACGAAAGUCUGACCGAGCAACGCCGCGUGAGUGAAGAAGGUUUUCGGAUCGUAAAACUCUGUUGGUAGAGAAGAACGUUGGUGAGAGUGGAAAGCUCAUCAAGUGACGGUAACUACCCAGAAAGGGACGGCUAACUACGUG
rnacentral:rRNA from 1 species